CGUUUCUACUUAAAAUCAGGGGUGGACUGGCCAUCUGGCAUACCGGGCAUCGUCCCGGUGGGCCGUUGACCCAAUGUGGGGCGGUCCGGUCCGCUAUGUUUUCUUUUUUACUCUCUCUCUAAAUUCCCUCCAAUUGGGCCGGCCAAUGGGCUACAGAGAGCUAGCAGUGUGUUGCCAGCAUGGACGCAUAUUAUUGGUCUAUGUUUGUCAUUGUCAAUCAAUCAUGGGCUGACUGGCUCAGAGAGCCCUGACAGUGCUGUCAAUCACAACACAAACCAGGUUAAAUGUUCAAAAUUGACAGACCUAUUUGGUGCCGGGGUCCGCACCCCAGCAGGUGCUGCUGCGCCAGGAGACGAGCGAGUGGAGGCAUAUAUGCUAAGUAACGUUAGCCUGGGGCUAGCUAGGCUACAUUUUGAGACAUGUCCAAAACAAAGUAGAAAACGUUUUUACAUUGAAUGUGAUGUGACCUAAUUAACUGCAUACUUGUGACAACAUAUUAGCCCAGAGUUGAAGGGCUGUGACUGUUGGUAGUUGUGGUUGAUUUUGUUUAAAUAGGCCGAAUUGUGAUAUUAUUGGUUAUUAUUGUUCAGAUGAUUUGGCUAAGCUAGCUAACAGCUGCUAACGUUAGCAGUCUCUUGUUGCCAUAGCAACAGUAUACAUUGACAUGGACUAAUGAGCAGUAAAUAGAGAUGCAGAAUCAAGCUGUAUUGUAAAUACAGAUGUGACACUUUGAAUUUUAGCACAAAAUACAAGUAAACCUAUUGGAAAUAAUUAGUUUAAUUUGCAAUAUUUGCCAUUGAAUUUAUUGUAAUCUUUCAAUUCAUUUAUUGUUUACUGAGGUGAUGACUAUUUCGAGAGGAAUGCAAUAUGUGUAUGUUUAAAGGUUUAUGUGAAGAAAUAUACUAUAUGUGUGAUAAAAUGACAAUUGGUUAUUCAUAAA